UACGUAGGGUGCGAGCGUUGUCCGGAAUUACUGGGCGUAAAGAGCUCGUAGGUGGUUUGUCGCGUUGUUCGUGAAAUCUCACGGCUUAACUGUGAGCGUGCGGGCGAUACGGGCAGACUAGAGUACUGCAGGGGAGACUGGAAUUCCUGGUGUAGCGGUGGAAUGCGCAGAUAUCAGGAGGAACACCGGUGGCGAAGGCGGGUCUCUGGGCAGUAACUGACGCUGAGGUGCGAAAGCGUGGGGAGCAAACAGG
rnacentral:rRNA from 1 species